rnacentral:rRNA from 1 species
CUACGGGUGGCAGCAGUGGGGAAUAUUGCACAAUGGGCGCAAGCCUGAUGCAGCCAUGCCGCGUGUAUGAAGAAGGCCUUCGGGUUGUAAAGUACUUUCAGCGGGGAGGAAGGGAGUAAAGUUAAUACCUUUGCUCAUUGACGUUACCCGCAGAAGAAGCACCGGCUAACUCCGUGCCAGCAGCCGCGGUAAUACGGAGGGCGCAAGCGUUAAUCGGAAUGACUGGGCGUAAAGCGCACGCAGGCGGUUUGUUAAGUCAGAUGUGAAAUCCCCGGGCUCAACCUGGGAACUGCAUCUGAUACUGGCAAGCUUGAGUCUCGUAGAGGGGGGUAGAAUUCCAGGUGUAGCGGUGAAAUGCGUAGAGAUCUGGAGGAAUACCGGUGGCGAAGGCGGCCCCCUGGACGAAGACUGACGCUCAGGUGCGAAAGCGUGGGGAGCAAACAGGAUUAGAUACCCUUGUAGUC